UCAGAAAGAUAGAAAGGGAAAAGCUGUGUCUGAUACGAGUAUUGUGGUUUCAGAAGUGGAGCGUCGAAAAGAGAAGGUGUUAGUAGUGGAGAAAGGGCCAACCACGCGCGCUG